rnacentral:lncRNA from 1 species
GCCAAUGGCAACAGCUGAGGAGGCAUCACCAUAACCUCCUUAGACCUCACAAUGGUGGAUGCAGCUCAACAGCCCUUAUCUGUAUUGGUUGGUAAAGGUAAAGGACCCCUGGAUGGGGUUCCAGCACUCAUCUCGCUUUCAGGCCGAGGGAGCCGGCGUUUGUUCACAGACAGCUUUCUAGGUUAUGUGGCCCACAGGACUAAACCGCUUCUGCCGCAACGGGACACCGUGAAGGAAACCAGAGCGCACGGAAACGCUGUUUACCUUCCCGCCGGAGUUGUACCUAUUUAUCUACUUGCACUGGUGUGCUUUCGAACUGCUAGGUUGGCAGGAGCUGGGACAGAGCAACGGGAGCUCACCCCGCCGUGGGGAUUCGAACCGCCGACCUUCUGAUCAGCAAGCCCAAGAGGCUCAGUGGUUUAGACCACAGCGCCACCACAGGAGAGGAAAGUGCACUUGGGUCCUACUUUUGGCAUUCCCACCAGCUUCUGGUUGGCCUUUUUGAGAACAGGAUGCUGGACUGGAUGCCCCAUUGGCCUGAUCCUGCAGGCUGCUCUUAUGUUCUUGCUCCCUAGCUCAUGCUGGUCCCCUCUUCGGGUUCAGACAUUUCUUGGGGUCCUGCUUUUGGCUUCCCCAAUCCACUAGGAGCCUCCCUCUGGUCCUCCGACACUCUGAGCUCCUCCCCCUCUUCCUCAGGAUCGGUCCAUCCCCUCACAAGGCCUGCCAAGAAAAAUAAAGAAUUUAUUCAUGUAUGCUACAACAGCGGCAAGAGUCUUGAUAGCACAAGGGAUGGAAGAACGAGGAAACCCCGACAAAAGAACAAUGGCAAGAGAAAUUGAUGAACUAUGCAGAACUGGCAAAACUGACAUACAAACUGCGAGAUAAGGACAACUGUGACUUCAAAGAAGAAUGGGAACUUUUUACAAAUUACUUAAAAAGACAACAAAGGUAAAUUAGAUAACCAAGAGACGUGUGGUGAAUGCGGUGGAAGUCUUUUAUAAUAUUUUAACUAGGAUUUAUAUAUCAUAAUGUUUGAAGUAUGAAUUUGGAAUAAUUGAUUAUGAAAAGUAUUUUUUCUCUUCAUUCUUUUUCUUGUUUCUUUUAUCUUUUGUCUUUCUUUUCUAGUCUGCAUUCUGGGAAAUAGUGUAGAUAAAUGUUUUAAUGUAUGGUUAUGCAUUGUUUCUAUUUCUUUUUUUCUUUUCAUAUUUUUGUAACAUUUAAUAAAAUUUAAUAAAAAAAAAAAAGACAACAAAAUGAAUUGGACUCCUUGGCAGGUUUUGAAUAAACAUACACAAAUUUAUUGACUGUUUACAUAGUAGACACAUAAUUUAAGGAUUUAUACAAUUUUGCAGUAUGCAGAGAAUAACAUGUGCUGAGAAAUCAGAGAGAGGAGCUGAGGGAAGUCUUGGGGGGGUUGAUGGGGGGAAGGGGGGAAAUAAUGAAUAUGAUAUGUUUUGAUAUUUUGUUAUGUUGAAAUUGUUAAUAAAGGAUUGGUCCAUCCCCUCCAUGACUUCGCCAUAGGGUUCAGGACAUGAAUGGACCGGCCUCCACUCAGUUGCUUUCCCCCCACCCCUCACAGGACCACAUCCGUGGAGCAGGUGCUUGCUGGGAACAUCUCCCGUACGCCACGAAGAACCGCCAGACCCAGGCGACCGUAAUUUCUAAGCACAAAGAGGACUGAGUACCUCGACACAUCAGAGGAGCCCCUUGCUUCCCAUGGUAAAACCAGGAACAGAUUCCAGGUGUAGCUUUGUGAUUAUUAUAUACCAAGAAGUCGGCCAUCUGUGGAUGGUGUGUUCCUGCAUCGUUUUCUUUCUUCCGUGGAUGAGAAAGGGCGAUUUGGGGGCGGGGGUGGGGGGGUGGGAACCAUUAAGUGUUAUUAGGUGAAGAGAAUUUGGAUUCCUGUUCCAAACUUCUCCCUUCAGGCUAGGAACAAUUUCCUGCCGCUCUUCCCUCCCCCAACCCCGCCAGACACUUUGAGAUGAGGAAAGGACUUCAAAGAGGCGUUCUCAAAGCACACCCUCGCCGCCCUCCCCCCCCGAAAAACGACAGGCAUCCGUUAGCGAAAGUAUCCAUGUUGUGAUACGCCACAGAUUGCUGCGGUUUGCAAACCAGGCCCCGGGGUCACGAACGGCUGGAUCUGCAGUUAAUGCGACUUGACAGCUCGUAUUAUAUUCUCUCACUCAUGGAUGGUAGAGCCAGGUCCCGUUACAUACGGAGGAAAUCCCUCCGGGUCAAGGUGGAAGAAACAUAGCGGAGAGAUCCCUAUUCCCUGGGAAGCCAUUACCCUCCAGAGCACCGUACGGCAC